UGGUGGAGUGAUUUGUCUGGUUAAUUCCGAUAACGAACGAGACCUUAACCUGCUAAAUAGAAGGUCGAUUUUCGAAUCGAUGCUUCUUCUUAGAGGGACUAACUACUUUUAGUGGUUGGAAGUUUGAGGCAAUAACA
rnacentral:rRNA from 1 species